rnacentral:rRNA from 1 species
GGUUAAGCGACUAAGCGUACACGGUGGAUGCCCUGGCAGUCAGAGGCGAUGAAGGACGUGCUAAUCUGCGAAAAGCGUCGGUAAGGUGAUAUGAACCGUUACAGCCGGCGAUGUCCGAAUGGGGAAACCCAGUGCAAUUCGUUGCACUAUCGUUAACUGAAUACAUAGGUUAACGAGGCGAACCGGGGGAACUGAAACAUCUAAGUACCCCGAGGAAAAGAAAUCAACCGAGAUUCCCCCAGUAGCGGCGAGCGAACGGGGAGCAGCCCAGAGUCUGAAUCAGCUUGUGUGUUAGUGGAACGGUCUGGAAAGUCCGACGGUACAGGGUGAUAGUCCCGUACACCAAAAUGCACAGGUUGUGAACUCGAAGAGUAGGGCGGGACACGUGGUAUCCUGUCUGAAUAUGGGGGGACCAUCCUCCAAGGCUAAAUACUCCUGACUGACCGAUAGUGAACCAGUACCGUGAGGGAAAGGCGAAAAGAACCCCGGCGAGGGGAGUGAAAAAGAACCUGAAACCGUGUACGUACAAGCAGUGGGAGCACCUUCGGGUGUGACUGCGUACCUUUUGUAUAAUGGGUCAGCGACUUAUAUUCUGUAGCAAGGUUAACCGUAUAGGGGAGCCGCAGGGAAACCGAGUCUUAACUGGGCGUUAAGUUGCAGGGUAUAGACCCGAAACCCGGUGAUCUAGCCAUGGGCAGGUUGAAGGUUGGGUAACACUAACUGGAGGACCGAACCGACUAAUGUUGAAAAAUUAGCGGAUGACUUGUGGCUGGGGGUGAAAGGCCAAUCAAACCGGGAGAUAGCUGGUUCUCCCCGAAAGCUAUUUAGGUAGCGCCUCGUGAACUCAUCUUCGGGGGUAGAGCACUGUUUCGGCUAGGGGGUCAUCCCGACUUACCAACCCGAUGCAAACUACGAAUACCGAAGAAUGUUAUCACGGGAGACACACGGCGGGUGCUAACGUCCGUCGUGAAGAGGGAAACAACCCAGACCGCCAGCUAAGGUCCCAAAGUCAUGGUUAAGUGGGAAACGAUGUGGGAAGGCACAGACAGCCAGGAUGUUGGCUUAGAAGCAGCCAUCAUUUAAAGAAAGCGUAAUAGCUCACUGGUCGAGUCGGCCUGCGCGGAAGAUGUAACGGGGCUAAACCAUGCACCGAAGCUGCGGCAGCGACACUAUGUGUUGUUGGGUAGGGGAGCGUUCUGUAAGCCUGCGAAGGUGACCUGUGAGGGUUGCUGGAGGUAUCAGAAGUGCGAAUGCUGACAUAAGUAACGAUAAAGCGGGUGAAAAGCCCGCUCGCCGGAAGACCAAGGGUUCCUGUCCAACGUUAAUCGGGGCAGGGUGAGUCGACCCCUAAGGCGAGGCCGAAAGGCGUAGUCGAUGGGAAACAGGUUAAUAUUCCUGUACUUGGUGUUACUGCGAAGGGGGGACGGAGAAGGCUAUGUUAGCCGGGCGACGGUUGUCCCGGUUUAAGCAUGUAGGCUGGUUGUCCAGGCAAAUCCGGAUAAUCAAGGCUGAGGUGUGAUGACGAGGCACUACGGUGCUGAAGUAACAAAUGCCCUGCUUCCAGGAAAAGCCUCUAAGCAUCAGGUAACAUUAAAUCGUACCCCAAACCGACACAGGUGGUCAGGUAGAGAAUACCAAGGCGCUUGAGAGAACUCGGGUGAAGGAACUAGGCAAAAUGGUGCCGUAACUUCGGGAGAAGGCACGCUGGUGUGUAGGUGAAGCCCCUGCGGGUGGAGCUGAGACCAGUCGAAGAUACCAGCUGGCUGCAACUGUUUAUUAAAAACACAGCACUGUGCAAACACGAAAGUGGACGUAUACGGUGUGACGCCUGCCCGGUGCCGGAAGGUUAAUUGAUGGGGUUAUCCGUAAGGAGAAGCUCUUGAUCGAAGCCCCGGUAAACGGCGGCCGUAACUAUAACGGUCCUAAGGUAGCGAAAUUCCUUGUCGGGUAAGUUCCGACCUGCACGAAUGGCGUAAUGAUGGCCAGGCUGUCUCCACCCGAGACUCAGUGAAAUUGAACUCGCUGUGAAGAUGCAGUGUACCCGCGGCAAGACGGAAAGACCCCGUGAACCUUUACUAUAGCUUGACACUGAACAUUGAGCCUUGAUGUGUAGGAUAGGUGGGAGGCUUUGAAGCGUGGACGCCAGUCUGCGUGGAGCCAACCUUGAAAUACCACCCUUUAAUGUUUGAUGUUCUAACGUUGGCCCCUUACCGGGGUUGCGGACAGUGUCUGGUGGGUAGUUUGACUGGGGCGGUCUCCUCCCAAAGCGUAACGGAGGAGCACGAAGGUUAGCUAAUCCUGGUCGGACAUCAGGAGGUUAGUGCAAUGGCAUAAGCUAGCUUGACUGCGAGCGUGACGGCGCGAGCAGGUGCGAAAGCAGGUCAUAGUGAUCCGGUGGUUCUGAAUGGAAGGGCCAUCGCUCAACGGAUAAAAGGUACUCCGGGGAUAACAGGCUGAUACCGCCCAAGAGUUCAUAUCGACGGCGGUGUUUGGCACCUCGAUGUCGGCUCAUCACAUCCUGGGGCUGAAGUAGGUCCCAAGGGUAUGGCUGUUCGCCAUUUAAAGUGGUACGCGAGCUGGGUUUAGAACGUCGUGAGACAGUUCGGUCCCUAUCUGCCGUGGGCGCUGGAGAAUUGAGGGGGGCUGCUCCUAGUACGAGAGGACCGGAGUGGACGCAUCACUGGUGUUCGGGUUGUCAUGCCAAUGGCACUGCCCGGUAGCUAAAUGCGGAAGAGAUAAGUGCUGAAAGCAUCUAAGCACGAAACUUGCCCCGAGAUGAGUUCUCCCUGAGACUUUAAGUCUCCUGAAGGAACGUUGAAGACGACGACGUUGAUAGGCCGGGUGUGUAAGCGCAGCGAUGCGUUGAGCUAACCGGUACUAAUGAACCGUGAGGCUUAACCUU